CUUUUUUAUUUUCCACAUUGCUAUUUUGGAGGUCGCCAGAGAGUGCUCCAUCUACCCUUAGAUGUGUGUGCCCCUUUCUUUGCAGAAGAGUGGACGUCACACUCCCAGCAGCCGGCCCGUCUGCCCUCUGCCUCCCCUCUCUCCAUGUAGCAGCCCAUCGUGGAUGAUCCUGUUGGCUGGAGCUCUUUCAUCAGUUUCUUUACCAGCAACUGUGGUGCUCCCUGGACCUCUGGAAUGGAGAAGAGUCGGCGCAAACUGGCCCAGGUCUGGCUGCGUCCUGGUGCGCCCCCUGUGCCUCCCCACUGCACACCUGGACAUCCAGGGCCUCCUGGCUGCUGCAGCGC
rnacentral:lncRNA from 1 species